UAUUAAACCCGACAGCAGUGGAAAUCCUUUUUUGCCCCGAACGUAGUGAAAGGGCCAAAAAGAUUGUAACGAAUGGCGGGACUAUUG
rnacentral:sRNA from 2 species